GCCCUUGUAGUUCAACGGACAGAAUAACUCCCUUCUAAGGAGUGGAUCGAGGUUCGAUUCCUCGCGGGGGCACCA
rnacentral:tRNA from 1 species